CGUUCACUUCCGGGGCGGAGGGACGAAUUGCAAGUUCUGCCCCUUCAUUGUGUCCCUCCUAGCCAGUCUGAUCCCCCUCGUCCCGCCGGUGUGGCUGUCCCUGAUCUCAAGUGGCUGGUGCCCCGGGAGCCCUGUAUGACAACCAGCUGCCUCAAGAGCCAGGCAUGUAAACUUGAGGCAAUACUGAUUGGGAGGACCUGUUUUUGAGGCUCUAGUGAAGCACAGUUAUGCUGUUUCCUCUCACCAGGGGAACUCCCAUGUCUCAGGAGAUUGCCCUAAGCACAGAGCUCUGGGGUAUUCUGCUCUGGGUGCUUCCUCAAUCUUCUGUUGAAGCUGUUCCAGUAUGAACCAACUAAAGAGUUAUUGAAGCAUGGGCACUGGACUCCAGGUCUCCCACGUGGAUGCCCUACCACUGGCUUACAGAGUCAUAUUUUCUUUCCCCCUGUCGGGUCUAAUGACUAUUCCACAAUGGAUAAAUACUUAAAUAGUCAUUGAACCAUAUCAGACCUGAACAGCAGUGUAAUGUUGCCACUAUGGUUAAUGUUUCAACAGCACUCCAAUUAUUGACUUUACAUUUUUAGAUGUAUGUUUUAUUGCUAUUUAAAGUAGGGGAAAAUCUUUAAUUUCAAAACAAAAAUCAACUAUUCCUUUAAGACAGGCAUUUUAAAAAUAAUUUUACAGAUUGUGCUUUGAGUCAAAUUCAUAAAUUCCAUUUUAAAAGAAGUCCUAAAUCCUUAGUCCAUGCAUCUUAUUCUGCAAUCCUGACUCUCACAUGUUGCCCCAAUGAAGUCAGUGCUACCGCACAUGUAGACUCUGAAUUAUUGUUUUAAAUAUGGCAAUUAAAAUGGUUUGUUGAUAUUAAGGAUCCAUUCUACAAAUCAAUACACUGCUAAAUAAGAUUCAUAUCUUCUUCCAUGACUCUGAAUCAAGGAGUGUUUCACUGACUUUAAUAAAAAUGAGCAUGAAAAAACAUUUAGUCAGCCACAUCAGUUCUUAAUAUAAAUACUGUCUGAAACAGAUGGAAGUUUUUUUUUUCCUUGCAAUGGUGUGCUGAUCUUAAUUUUACUUUUAGAUACUGUAACUUUUACUACAGUCCCAUUUAAUGGACUAAUGCCUAUGGUAUUAAUUUUCAUACCACAUAAAACCACAAAAUGGCUCAGUGAUGCAUUGGAUAUAUAAUAUACCAAAUUACAAGAUGGAGGUUUGUGUUUCCUGUAUUUAAAUAGGGAAUAAAAAGUUACUGAAACCAGCACAUACUGUACAGCUUAUAGUACAUACUGAAAUACAGCUGAUUUCUUUUAAAAUUAUUCUUAUAUAGCAUUGUUGCAGUGACCAUAUCCUAGCACCCCUGCAUGGGACACUAGUUUUAUUACCAAGACCAAUGCAUUCCUGGAGGUCUUUGACAUGUGGUCAAUAAUACCAAAGCAACCGUUGUGUCAUAAGACAUGCAAAUUAAAACAAGCUAAGCACAAUAAAAAACAAUUGCUUUUAAGUUACACAUAAUAGUUCUAGUACAAGCUCCCAAAUUGUACCAAUACACUUGCAACUUUUUGCACACAUCUAGUGGUUAAAGACAGUUAGCAGCUAGAGUUCUAUCAAGCUCAAUUUACACUCAACUGCAUUUUUCAAAUAAAAGAGUCCUUUCUAGAUCAGCUGGAUAAAAGGUUUGAAGAACAACUACUGCCUAUCUGGAGAUCUCAAAACACUUUACAAACAAUUAAGGUCUGCAACACCUCUGAGGUACCCAGUUUACCUCUGCACCUGCUUCUCUUAACAGAGGUAGAGUCUGGUCCUGUGAAGUGCUGAGUUGAGUGCUUGACUUCAAUGGAAGCUACAGGUGCUGAUCAUCAGCACACAGUCAGGUCUAUUUUAACAGGAAGUUAAAGGUGCAAGCUGCAAGUCUACUAGUAACCCUGAACACCACAUUAGCUAUUUGCAAUAAAUCUUAUUCAUAAGCUAAAGCCAUGUUCUUUUGUACAAUAUUACCUCACAGACAUAUUGUCUGGUUUCUGAAGGACCUACUACUUGGGGUGAAGCUGUUGAUUUAGUGAUCUUCUCCUUAUAAUUGAAAUAUCUAGAUUCCCUGGAACUCCUGGUUCAAACCCCAGUACUGCAUCCUGCUAAAAUGGAUGAAUUGAGUCCCAUGCACUUUCCUAGGUUGGGGAGGCUUUUCAGAUUAGACCUUACAAAAAGCAGUUGUGAAUUCUGUUGAACUGUGAAUGUCCACAGUAAGUGUUUUCAUUUGGGUUCCAUUCCAGAAACUUUGGUUAACAGAAAGCCUGGUUUAUCCUUGUAAGUUAUUAGUUAACAUACAAGCCUUAGAUUUGUUGCUUUUGCUCUCCUGCCUGCUCCAUCCUCAAAAAAACCAAACCCCACCAAUCAGGAUUUUGAGGACGUUUAUUCAAGUAACUGUUUCUUGCUAUAUCCCAGAACUGGACCCUUCACUUUCCUCUCCGCACGAUUGUUAAAUCGUUAAUAGAUCUUUAUAUAUAACCAACAGAAAAAUACUUCCAUCAGAAAUCAUUUGAUACCCCAUCACCUUCUCCAAAGGGAAAAGGUGCAAGGUGAAUUGAAACAAAAUUGUUCAUUAGUUAGCCUGGGGGAUAUUUAUGGUCACAAAAUCCAGAGGGGCACAGAAAUAUAACUAGGAAAAAAUAGGUGUCCUGUAUCUGCUACUACCUUGGCAGAGUUGGGACAGAUACAAGAUGUUGAUAUGAAGGCUCAAAACUGGACAUUUGCUGGCAUGCUUGCUGUAUCAGUUCUAAUAUAAACUUGGAACAUGACAGUGCCCUCAGUACGACCAGUUUCCCUUUUGGAAUUUUGUAUACAUUAGUUAUAAUGGCCUGAGUAGGACCUAAGAGGACUAGGUGCAAUUAAAAUAUCUAGCCCUACUUGGGGGAGCACAGGUAUAAAUUAGGAGGAACGGGAGGCAACGAGAGCCAAGCUGGAGGCAAAGGCAAAGCUGUGCAAUCUUGAAUGUGACCGAGCAUCUCAAACUUCGUAUCCUUUGUAUCAGAGAAGGAGAGGGUAGGGGAGGAAGAGCGAGACCAUGAACUCAAAGCAGACAUGAGGAAUUUAAGUGAGGGCAGCACAGGAAGAAUAUCCCCUUAUUCUACAUUUCAGCUUACUGGAAAGCUACACACAUUUUCCUAGAUACAGAAGGUUGAGAUUGUGGAGAAUGUAAAUUCUAUUACAUGGUCUUUUUUUUUUUUUUGACUAAUAUCCCCUUUCUUGUAGGGGAAGUUUUCCCUCCUACAAAUGAGGACAUAAUACAAAGUUUCCUUAGAUUACCACCAAAACAGUAAGCGAUUUGUUUGGGAAUUCCUCUGCAUGCCCCCCCCCCAAACACAGAGUCAGGACUACUAGUAAACGUUUCUUAAAAGAUUUAUUAAAGUAUCAUUUAUCACAAAUAGAGAAAUAAACAGAUUAGAAGCAUGCAACCAUCAUCUCCCACAUUUAAGUAAUUUCUGUAUGCAUUUUUUUCUUGCAUUCACAGCAUGUUGUCAAACUUCAAACGUUAGUGCCAGCUUCACUCUUCCUGAAAAUGUUUCAAGGCAAUAGAUAACAAAAAACAGUAAGGUAAGAUAGUGUGAGAAAAGUGCAGAGUAAAAAAUAUGUACACACACACACUCAAGCCUCCCUCCCAACCUCUUUCCCCCUCAAAAAAAAUGAUUAAAGAAAGGCAAAAAACUCAUUUUGCUGGUAGAUCAGAUUGUCUUUAUGAACUACUUUACAAAAAUUACUCUACAAAUUAAGAGCCCGACCUAGCAGACAUGUAUGCCUGCGGCUAACUUUACUCAUAUGAGUUGUUCAGUUGAUUUCACAUGAACUAGUUCACUCAUGUAGUUCUAAUGUUUGCAGUACAAGACCCCAAGGCAAUAACCAUGUUUAAGACCAUUAAAGAGAACAAAAACUAAAG